rnacentral:lncRNA from 1 species
GAGCUUUAUCAAUUUUUUGCUGCUUAGCUCAAGAUCAGUGGAAAGUAGAGGAGGGGAUUUGAUGCUUUCUUCACCUUCAAGUAGAGAGAUGACAAGUCUCUCCAAGACUAAAUCAGCCACUUCAUGUGGCUACACUGAAGAUCUACAAUGUUCAAACCACUCGAUCAUGAUGUUAGUCCUUAAAAAGAUGUUGAAGGCCUUUAACUUCUUCUCUCUAGAGAAAUAAUUCCCCAG